rnacentral:misc_RNA from 1 species
GAUGAAGAACGCAGCGAAAUGCGAUAAGUAAUGUGAAUUGCAGAAUUCAGUGAAUCAUCGAAUCUUUGAACGCACAUUGCGCCCCCUGGUAUUCCGGGGGGCAUGCCUGUCCGAGCGUCAUUACAACCCUCAAGCUCUGCUUGGUGUUGGGCCCCGCCGCCCCGGCGGGCCAUAAAGUCAGUGGCGGUGCCAUCCGGCUCCGAGCGUAGUAAUUCUUCUCGCUCUGGAGGUCCGGUUGUGUGCUUGCCAUCAACCCCCAAUUUUUUUCAGGUUGACCUCGGAUCAGGUAGGGAUACCCGCUGAACUUAAGCAUAUCAAUAAGCGGAGGA